GGUCAAGCGAUUAAGCGCACACGGUGGAUGCCUAGGCAGCCAGAGGCGAUGAAAGACGUGGAAGCCUGCGAUAAGGCUCGGCGAGGUGGCAAACAACCUGUGACCCGGGCAUUUCUGAAUGGGGAAACCCACCCAGCAUAAGCUGGGUAUCCCACACUGAAUCCAUAGGUGUUGGGAGGCGAACCAGGGGAACUGAAACAUCUAAGUACCCUGAGGAAAAGAAAUCAACCGAGAUUCCCCUAGUAGCGGCGAGCGAACGGGGACCAGCCCUUAAGCGUGUGACUGAUUAGGCGAAGGCAUUGGGAAAUGCCGCCAUAGUGGGUGAUAGCCCCGUAGCCGAAAAUCUGAUCGCGUGAAAUCGAGUAGGUCGGGGCACGUGAAACCUUGACUGAAGACGGGGGGACCAUCCUCCAAGGCUAAAUACUCCUGGCUGACCGAUAGUGAACCAGUACCGUGAGGGAAAGGCGAAAAGAACCCCGGAGAGGGGAGUGAAAUAGAUCCUGAAACCGUGUGCGUACAAGCAGUGGGAGCAGACUCGUUCUGUGACCGCGUACCUUUUGUAUAAUGGGUCAGCGACUUAUAUUCAGUGGCGAGCUUAACCGUAUAGGGGAGGCGUAGGGAAACCGAGUCUUAACUGGGCGACCAGUCGCUGGAUAUAGACCCGAAACCGGGCGAUCUAUCCAUGAGCAGGUUGAAGGUUGAGUAACAUCAACUGGAGGACCGAACCAGGAUCUGUUGAAAAAGAUUUGGAUGACUUGUGGAUCGGAGUGAAAGGCUAAUCAAGCCCGGAGAUAGCUGGUUCUCCUCGAAAGCUAUUUAGGUAGCGCCUCACGUAUCACCGCCGGGGGUAGAGCACUGUUUCGGCUAGGGGGUCAUCCCGACUUACCAACCCGAGGCAAACUCCGAAUACCGGUGAGUGCAAGCGUGGGAGACACACAGCGGGUGCUAACGUCCGUUGUGAAAAGGGAAACAACCCAGACCGUCAGCUAAGGUCCCGAAAUCCUGGUUAAGUGGGAAACGAUGUGGGAAGGCUCAGACAGCUAGGAGGUUGGCUUAGAAGCAGCCAUCCUUUAAAGAAAGCGUAAUAGCUCACUAGUCGAGUCGGCCUGCGCGGAAGAUGUAACGGGGCUAAACCAGGUACCGAAGCUACGGGUUCACACUUAGGUGUGAGCGGUAGAGGAGCGUCGUGUAAGCCAAUGAAGGUGGAUUGAGAAGUCUGCUGGAGGUAUCACGAGUGCGAAUGCUGACAUGAGUAACGACAAGGGGAGUGAAAAACUCCCCCGCCGGAAGACCAAGGGUUUCUGUUCGAUGCUAAUCAGAGCAGAGUGAGUCGGCCCCUAAGGCGAGGCCGAAAGGCGUAGUCGAUGGGAAACGGGUCAAUAUUCCCGUACCUGACAUGGUUGCGAUGGGGGGACGAAGAAGGCUAGGUGAGCCAGGCGUUGGUAGUCCUGGUGAAAGUCGGUAGGCUGAGGGUUCAGGCAAAUCCGGAUCCUCAAGGCCGAGAGACGAGACGAACAGACCACGGUCUGGAAGUCACUGAUGCCACGCUUCCAGGAAAAGCCUCUAAGCUUCAGGCCAUGUGAGACCGUACCCCAAACCGACACAGGUGGUCAGGGUGAGAAUCCUAAGGCGCUUGAGAGAACUCGGGUGAAGGAACUAGGCAAAAUGGUGCCGUAACUUCGGGAGAAGGCACGCCGCAUUAGUGUGAAGGGACUUGCUCCCCGAGCACGAAGCGGUCGAAGAUACCAGGUGGCUGCAACUGUUUAUUAAAAACACAGCACUCUGCAAACGCGUAAGCGGACGUAUAGGGUGUGACGCCUGCCCGGUGCCGGAAGGUUAAUUGAUGGUGUUAGCCGCAAGGCGAAGCUCUUGAUCGAAGCCCCGGUAAACGGCGGCCGUAACUAUAACGGUCCUAAGGUAGCGAAAUUCCUUGUCGGGUAAGUUCCGACCUGCACGAAUGGCGUAA
rnacentral:rRNA from 1 species